GAUGAACGCUGGCGGCGUGCCUAAUACAUGCAAGUCGAGCGAACGGACGAGAAGCUUGCUUCUCUGAUGUUAGCGGCGGACGGGUGAGUAACACGUGGAUAACCUACCUAUAAGACUGGGAUAACUUCGGGAAACCGGAGCUAAUACCGGAUAAUAUUUUGAACCGCAUGGUUCAAAAGUGAAAGACGGUCUUGCUGUCACUUAUAGAUGGAUCCGCGCUGCAUUAGCUAGUUGGUAAGGUAACGGCUUACCAAGGCAACGAUGCAUAGCCGACCUGAGAGGGGGGUCGGCCCACCGGAAAUUGGGAACGGGUCCCAGCCCCAAGGGGAGGGAGAGGUGGGGAAUCUUCCCAAAGGGGGGAAAGCCUGACGGGGCAACGCCGCGGUGGUGAUGAAGGGCUGCGGAUCGUAAAACCCUUUUAUUAGGGAAAAACAUAUGUGUAAGUAACUGGGCACAUCUUGACGGUACCAAAACAAAAAGCCACGGCUAACUACGU
rnacentral:rRNA from 1 species